rnacentral:lncRNA from 1 species
CUUUUGUCUCUUUCAGCCAGUGUGUGUGUGUUUGAGCAGUGUUUAGCAACCAAUAUUCCUUCCUUUUGUGCGUGGAUCCCGUAGAGUACUACGGAUGCGUAGGGGUGCUAAUACCUUCCCUUCGCAUAACCGACUCCCGAACCCAUUCUCUUUGGUCGCGAGACCAUGUUCUUUCCUAGGUUUACUUCGAGCGUUUCCUUUCCCUCUUUUGGGAUAAAUAACGCACGGUGGCGGC